CAACGUUGCAAUCACUCCGGUUCCCCUUCAAUACGAAAAAAUCUUUCGCCUUUUACUAAAGAUUUCCGUGGAGGGGAGCAUGCAAAGGAGUCUAGAACUCUAAUUUUUGACAAUGGCCUGAUUCCGAUCGGGCCGAUAAACACUAUGAUCUACCACGCCGCGAGUUGGGCAGGAAAUUCUCACCAGGUCUUUUAAAACAGAGAAUUUUCUCCCAACUCAUGAAAUAUAACAAUACAUCGCUAUCGUAGCCACCAGUCGUGUCACGUUUCAUUUAUUGUCAUUGGUGAUCUCUCUUCAUGGAAAUUGUUCCGUGGUAAUGGUCACCAAUUUAAAUGUAACUCAUCCGUUGACUCGUGCGACACGUAUCGCUGAUUUUCACAAUUUUGUUCAUUCCAUGUACAACCUUUUUAAUACGGAGAUAUUUAACAAGCGAAACGGCUCUAGUUCUGUUCAAGUUUUUUAUUCUCGCAGUACAAAUAUAACUG